rnacentral:rRNA from 1 species
CCUACGGGAGGCUGCAGUGAGGAAUAUUGGUCAAUGGACGCGAGUCUGAACCAGCCAAGUAGCGUGAAGGAUGACUGCCCUAUGGGUUGUAAACUUCUUUUAUAUGGGGAUAAAACGUUCCACGUGUGGUGUUUUGUAGGUACCGUAUGAAUAAGGAUCGGCUAACUCCGUGCCAGCAGCCGCGGUAAUACGGAGGAUCCGAGCGUUAUCCGGAUUUAUUGGGUUUAAAGGGAGCGCAGGUGGAUUGUUAAGUAUGCUGGGAAAGUUUGCGGCUUAACCGGAAAAUUGCAGUUGAAACUGGCAGUGUUGAGUACAGUAGAGGUGGGCGGAAGUAGUGGUGUAGCGGUGAAAUGCUUAGAGAUCACGAAGAACUACGAGUGCGAAGGCAGUUCACUGGACUGCAACUGACACUGAGGUUCGAAAGUGUGGGUAGCAAACAGGAUUAGAUACCCCAGUAGUC